rnacentral:rRNA from 1 species
UGGGGAAUAUUGCACAAUGGGCGAAAGCCUGAUGCAGCGACGCCGCGUGAGGGACGAAGGUCUUCGGAUUGUAAACCUCUUUCAGCAGGGACGAAGCGAAAGUGACUGUACCUGCAGAAGAAGCACCGGCUAACUACGUGCCAGCAGCCGCGGUAAUACGUAGGGUGCAAGCGUUGUCCGGAUUUAUUGGGCGUAAAGAGCUCGUAGGCGGUUCGUCACGUCGGAUGUGAAAACCUGGGGCUUAACCCCGGGCCUGCAUACGAUACGGGCGAACUAGAGUUCGGUAGGGGAGACUGGAAUUCCUGGUGUAGCGGUGAAAUGCGCAGAUAUCAGGAGGAACACCGGUGGCGAAGGCGGGUCUCUGAGCCGAUACUGACGCUGAGGAGCGAAAGCGUGGGGAGCAAACA